GAACCUCAACACCUCAUAAAUCUUGAUCUAACCGUCCAAACAAGAUCAAAAUUUACAUUAAGUACUGAUAUGUUGUUAUUAAUUUGUACAACAAAUUUUAACCACAAAUUCGUUGCGGUUCUUGAGAUAUCUUCAAAACCCUAACAGUCGCUUCAAAUCCUAAUCUUUAUAUACCCACGCACAAUUUUCUUCAUAUCUCACAAACCAUAAGUUCAAAUGCCACGAAACUUAUAUAGAUAGCUUCUUAACACAAAUUUUUACAUUCUCCCAAAGUUUGAGCCAAAAUUUCGUUCGAAAACUCAUGUUAUGGCUCCUAACACUACUUUGAACAAAAACGCUCACUUACUGCCUUUGAUUUGAAUGCGCUGUCUUUAACUCCCUAUAACUCCUUCACAUAAACUCCAAAUGCAAAAUCUCCUUCGCAAAAGAUGUAUGUCUUGAAGUAUCCCUUCCAGCCGCACCUUACGAUCUCCAAAAGCUUCCGUAAGACUCCUCUUAAACUCAAAAGAGUAACAGUAGGUCUCAAAUUGACAUCUUAACUUCAAACGGCUAUAACUUAUUCACUCUAACUCCAAAUCCUAUAAAAUUU
rnacentral:lncRNA from 1 species